GCCUGGCUGGCUCAGGGGAAGAGCACGUGGCUCUUGAUCUUGGGGCUGUGAGUUCAAGCCCCAUGUUGGGUG
rnacentral:tRNA from 1 species